UAAUUAGCAAAAAAGAAAAUCAACAUUCUGCAGCAUUCUAAUCUAACAGAAGGCACAACUAACGUUUACACGGCAGACCGUUUGAUCACUGCCGUGUAGAUAACAGAUCACGUGAUAACCUUAUAUAGACAGAUCGUAUAACGGUACAGACAGUAUAUUGACUUGAUUUCGUUAAACAGCUGACACAGAGGCGGUCUAGGGUGAUAGAAAGUCUAACAAACUGAUAGGAAGAUUAAGAGGUGAACGAACACCCGUUGAUAAGAUAAAAGUUAAUUGAUCGGCAAUACCAGAACGGACUGUGAAAAAAUUAUUAUUGUUUCAUCUUUCGUGUUUCAAGUGCAGGGAGAGAGAAUUGGAUUUCAGAAUAUUGAGGCAACUAUAUGCAUAUCAAACCUUUUUCUGUUAAUUGAAUAUUCAUUUGUGAAGCACUGAUUUGAAGGUUCAGAAGGUCGAUCGGGAAGUUUAUCAAUAUUGAUAUCACGUAUAUAGAGUGUUGGGAAACUGGUUUCAUCUGCAAUUUAAGACGUCAUUUAGACUCGUGGAAUAUAGGUUAAACAAUUUCUUCUAAAUAAAGUAUCAAAUUCCCAAACAGUGUUCAACGAGGAUACACGUGUUAAAAUGGCUGCAGUAAAAUCAACGAAAGUUCUAAUAGCUAUGGACGGAAGUGAUCCAUCUCUCUAUGCCUUUGAUUGGUAUAUGGAUAAUAUACAUAAACCAGAUAAUCAUAUAAUUAUAGCCCAUGUACCAGAUUAUAAAUCACUUGUUAAAUCACCUAUUAUAUCUAGCGACCCUGCCUUGAUUGCGGCCUUAAUGAAAGAAGAGGAAGCGGAAGUAGAUAAAAUCAUCAGCAAGAUUAAAGAAAAAGUCAACGUAGUUGGUGUAAAAUGUCGUAUGUUGAGGUUAUCUGGUGACCCAGGCCAUGCUAUUGUUAAAGCCAGUGAAACAGAGAAAGUGGAUUGCAUUGUGACAGGAACACGUGGUCUUGGUACAGUCAGGAGAACAUUAUUAGGCAGUGUCAG